rnacentral:rRNA from 1 species
UACGUAGGUGACAAGCGUUGUCCGGAUUUACUGGGCGUAAAGAGCGCGCAGGCGGCGCGGUAAGUCUGAUGUGAAAUCUCCCGGCUUAACUGGGAGGGGUCAUUGGAAACUGCCGAGCUUGAGGCGAUGAGAGGGGUGUAGAAUUCCCGGUGUAGUGGUGGAAUGCGUAGAUAUCAGGAGGAAUACCAGUGGCGAAAGCGGCACCCUGGCAUUAGCCUGACGCUCAUGUGCGAAGGCGUGGGGAGCGAACGGG